AACGGGGACCAACGCUCAGCAUAGCAGAGAAAGACACCAAGCUACGGGACCCGCCGCGCCUCCCGCGCCAGGGUGGAGUUGACCCCGCCGAGCCCCGCCCCAGCCUGCGUCUGCCAAUGAUCCAGGAGCCACUCCUUUCCACUCAGGAAACCUUCAGAGGAGUCUCAGAAAGGACACGGCUGGCCGCUUUUCUCAGCGCCGAAGCCGCGCCAUGCUCCUCCUCAGAAGCGCCCUGACUCGGGCGCUGGCCUCACGGACGCUGGCGCCUCAGGUGUGCUCAUCUUUUGCUACAGGACCCAGACAAUACGAUGGAAUAUUCUAUGAAUUUCGUUCUUAUUACCUUAAGCCCUCAAAGAUGAAUGAGUUCCUGGAAAAUUUUAAGAAAAACGCUCAUCUUCGGACAGCUCACUCUGAAUUGGUUGGAUACUGGAGUGUAGAAUUUGGAGGCAGAAUGAAUACAGUGUUUCAUAUUUGGAAGUAUGAUAAUUUUGCUCAUCGAACUGAAGUUCGGAAAGCCUUGGCCAAAGAUAAGGAAUGGCAAGAACAGUUCCUCAUUCCAAAUUUGGCUCUCAUUGAUAAACAAGAGAGUGAGAUUACUUAUCUGGUACCAUGGUGCAAAUUAGAAAAACCUCCAAAAGAAGGAGUCUAUGAACUGGCCACUUUUCAGAUGAAACCUGGUGGGCCAGCUCUGUGGGGUGAUGCAUUUAAAAGGGCAGUUCAUGCUCAUGUCAAUCUAGGCUACACAAAACUAGUUGGAGUGUUCCACACAGAGUACGGAGCACUCAACAGAGGUACAAUUGUCCAUUUCUUCUUAUAUGAAAUUGUAAUAUAUAUUGUGACCUAAGUUCCUUGGGUAAGUUUCUUUCUCAUUAUAGAGUAUGUUUUAUUAUUUAUUGCCAAAUGUUUAGUUUUUUGUAAUUUUCAAAAUUGAGAAAAUCUGUUUUACAUCUUAUUUAUUUAGAAUGUUAACUUAUGAAACCUUCAAAUGCUGAAUAGCUGUUUUCCCUCAUACAUCAAAAUGAUUAAAUUUUUUAAACUGAAGGAACCUCGGCUGGGCAUGGUAGCUCAGGCCUCUAAUCCCAGCACUUUUGGAGGCUGAGGGGGGCUGGUCUCAAACUCCUGACCACAGGUGAUCCGCCCGCCUCGGCCUCCCAAAGUGGUGGGAUAAGAGGCAUGAGUCACUACGCCAAGCCUCUACCUUAAUUUUCUAUACUGCACAUAUAUAAGUUUUAUUUUUUAAAAAACUACAGAAAAUGUGUGUUCAUACACUUUUUAAUCUUAAAUUCAUUCUCAGUGUUAGGAGAAUUGGUAAUCAGUACAGCAUUUCUGGAGGACAGUGUAUACUAUAUACACUACAUGUAAGUACAUAUAUAUAAGACAUGCUGUUUGGUUCUCUCAACUUAAAUUCUACUUUAUAUUAAGGAAAUAAUCAGAUUCAGACUACCUGGGUUUGAAUCCCAGGUACACUACUUACUUUUUGACUUUGGGUAAGUAAACCUCACCAUACCUUAGUUUUUUCAUCUAUAAAAUGAUAGAUUAUUAUGAGGACCUAGAUUAUUAUGAGGAUUAAAUGAGUUAAUACAUUAAAAUGCUUAAAACUAGGCCUGACACAUAGUUAUCAUUCAAUAAAUGUCAGUAGUUGUCAUCGAAAGUAUUAUUAUAAACAUAUAGUUGUGCUCAAAUGAAGUUUAUGUUAAUAUUGUUUACAUUAAAGAAACAUUGGAAAUGUAGUAUGACCUUCUUUAUGUAAUACAUACGUAAUACAGAAAUCGAUAUACAUGUACAUCAUAUCGUGUAUUUACGUAAGCAUAAGCAAAUAUGCUCAUAUAUGUUUAUUUGUAUAAAUAUACAACUAUAUAUAAAAAUAUAGGCCAGGCGUGGUGGUUCACGCCUGUAAUCCCAACACUUUGGGAUGCCAAGGUAAUAGGAUUGCUUGAGGCCAGAAGUUCGAGACCAGCCUGGGCAACAAAGUGGGAACCUGUCUCUAGAAAAAUAAAAAUAAAAUUAAAAAAUAAAAAUACAUAUAUACACAAAUACAGAAAGAGAUACACCAAAUAUGAAAGAGAUACACCAAAAAUAAAAUGAUUACAGUUUGUUUUUAAUCUGCAUUUUCCUAUACAUCUAACAUUUAUAUAUUACAAUUAUAAAAACUUCAUAAGCAAUUUUGUACAAGAACAUUUAUUCCAGUAUUUUAUAGAAUACUGAAAUAUUGGAAAUAGUCUAAAUAGUCAACAAUAAGGGGUUGGCAUAAUAAGUUGCUGUAUCUCUAAGGAGGAAUUUAUAUAACCAUUAAAAAUUAAUAUUGCCAUAGAAAAUACUGUUGAUUUUUAAAAACUUGUUACUAAGCUAAAUCUGUUAUUAUAAUAUACAAUAAGACCCUGAUUUGGUUUUACUCAUAUUUUCUAAAGGAAAUACAAUAAAUUUCCAUAGAGGUUUUCUCUAUACUGUUAACAUUAUGCCACUUUUAAUUUUCUUCUUUGUGUAACGUAAAAUUUUAAUAGUAAACACAAUUUGCUCAUAAUUUUGCUUUUUUAAAAAUUAAAGGAAAAUAUAGUAGGAAAUCAUAAAAUUUGGGUCUUGUUUUGAUUGUGCCUCUAGCUGUUUUACUUCAGUACUUCCAUUUUCCAGCCUUGUAUUUCUUCAUCUAUAAAACCAAUUUGAUUAAUUUAUCAAUUUCUCUAGCAAGUCUCUGACCCCUCUGAAAUCUUAUCAGUAACAUAUUUAGUUUUACCUUUUUGAUAUCACUGUUUCGAUUUAAAGAAUAGGAUGGUUUUGGCCAAGCGUGGUGGCUCACGCCUGUAAUCCCAGCACUUUGGGAGGCUAAGGUGGGCGGAUCACCUGAGGUCAGGAGUUCGAGACCAGCCUGCCCAACAUGGUAAAACCCCAUCUCUACUAAAAAUAUAAAAAAAAAAAAAUUAGCCGGACGUGGUGGUGGGCACCUGUAAUUCCAGCUACUCAGGAGGCUGAGGCAGGAGAAUCACUUGAACCCAGGAGGCAGAUGUUGCGGUGAGCCGAGAUCACACCACUGCACUCCAGCCUAGGUGACAAGAGUGAAACUCUUGUUUCAAAAAAAAAAAAAAGAAUAGGAUGGGUUUGAUUCAUUUUUCUGUUAUUUCUUAUUUGUUAAGGCCAUAUUUUUUAGAAACUACUUGUGGUUUAU